rnacentral:rRNA from 1 species
AGCGAACGCUGGCGGCAGGCCUAACACAUGCAAGUCGAACGAACCUUUCUGGUUUAGUGGCGGAAGGGUGAGUAACACGUUGGAACGUUCCUUUAGGUUCGGAAUCACUCAGUGAAACUUGUUCUAAUACCCCAUGUGCCCUUCGGGGGAAAGAUUAAUCGCCUUUAGAGCGGCCCGCGUCUGAUUAGCUAGUUGGUUGAGGUAAUGGCUCACCAAGGCGACGAUCAGUAGCUGGUCUGAGAGGAUGAUCAGCCACAUUGGGACUGAGACACGGCCCAAACUCCUACGGGAGGGAGGAGUGGGGAAACUUGCGAAAUGGGAGAAAGCCUGACGCAGCCAUGCCGCGUGAAUGAUGAAGGUCUUAGGAGUGUAAAAUUCUUUCACCGGGGACGAUAAUGACGGUACCCGGAGAAGAAGCCCCGGCUAACUUCGUG